CGUGUGAACCAGCGGAGGGAUCAUUA
rnacentral:rRNA from 1 species